AAUAAAAUGGCUGAGAUCAAGCGAUAAAUUGUAAAUUUAUUUACGAAUGGAAAAUUCUUUUAUU
rnacentral:tRNA from 1 species